AUGCAUGUCUAAGUACAGGCUUUCACAAAGCGAAACCGCGAAUGGCUCAUUAGGUCGGACAUGGUUCCUUAGAUCGUACACUCCUACUUGGAUAACUGUGGUAAUUCUAGAGCUAAUACAUGCGAGCAAGCUCCGACCUCACGGGAAGAGCGCUUUUAUUAGAUCAAAACCAAUCGGGCCGCAAGGUCCGUGCAUUUGGUGACUCUGGAUAACUUUGUGCUGAUCGCACGGCCUCGAGCCGGCGACGUAUCUUUCAAGUGUCCGCCCUAUCAACUUUCGACGGUACGUGAUAUGCCUACCGUGGUUGUAACGGGUAACGGGGAAUCAGGGUUCGGUUCCGGAGAGGGAGCAUGAGAAACGGCUACCACA
rnacentral:rRNA from 3 species